AAUCUCCUAGUAUCCCUACCACCAACCCAAACAACCCCUAUCAACACAACAACAACUGCCUGGCCAACAAAUUAUACACUACCAUCAUUCAGCACAGAGGUCAGGGAAGCCCUAUUAAAAAAAGACCCAGCGUUUUAUAAGAAGGACAAGUCACACAUCUGGACUGAUCAGCCUUCUUUUUGAUGACAUGACCCGGUAUGCCUGGUAUCCAAACCAUUAAAUGUACAGUGAUGUCCUGGGAACACUAAUAACCCGGCAUCAAUUUCUUAUGGAUGGAAGCCUCUCUGGCUCACUACAGAGUCAGUGAAAGGGGAAGACGUUCAAAUCAUCUGUGAACACAUGAAGGCCAUCAGUGCAGAGCUGGAAAAAAACAGGCCAAAUUUUGAUAAUAUAAAGUGGAGGAUGGAAAGAACUCUUCAUGCACAGACUCCUCUAUACAACACUGCAACCACCACAGGACUGUUUGAACAUUGUCCCUUCCUUAAAGACCCUCUUCUACUAAGCAGUAAAAAAAAUCGAUGUAAAUCAAUGCACAUAUUCAGGCAAUGCAGGGGCAUACAAUUGACAAUACUUUAUGAAAUGGAGCUGAGAUUUGGGCAGGAUCUGUGCUCAGCAGUUACCUACACAACACUGCAGAGCAGAUUUUGAGCGUCUC